rnacentral:rRNA from 1 species
UACAUGGGGUGCCCACUUUUCUCUGAAUUAUUGGGCGUAAAGCGCACGUAGGCGGUUUGUUAAGUCGGAUGUGGAAUCCCUCGGCUCAACUGAGGAAGUGCAUCCGAAACUGGCAGGCUUGAGUACUAAAGAGGGCCGCGGAAUUCCCGGUGUAGAGGUGAAAUUCGUAGAUAUUGGGAGGAACACCGGUGGCGAAGGCGGCGACCUGGGUAGAUACUGACGCUGAGGUGCGAAAGCGUGGGGAGCAAACAGG